AUUGAACGCUGGCGGCAGGCCUAACACAUGCAAGUCGAGCGGAUGAAGAGAGCUUGCUCUCCGAUUCAGCGGCGGACGGGUGAGUAAUGCCUAGGAAUCUGCCUGGUAGUGGGGGACAACGUUUCGAAAGGAACGCUAAUACCGCAUACGUCCUACGGGAGAAAGCAGGGGACCUUCGGGCCUCGCGCUAUCAGAUGAGCCUAGGUCGGAUUAGCUAGUAGGUGAAGUAAAGGCUCACCUAGGCGACGAUCCGUAACUGGUCUGAGAGGAUGAUCAGUCACACUGGAACUGAGACACGGUCCAGACUCCUACGGGAGGCAGCAGUGGGGAAUAUUGGACAAUGGGCGAAAGCCUGAUCCAGCCAUGCCGCGUGUGUGAAGAAGGUCUUCGGAUUGUAAAGCACUUUAAGUUGGGAGGAAGGGCAGUAAGUUAAUACCUUGCUGUCUUGACGUUACCAACAGAAUAAGCACCGGCUAACUUCGUGCCAGCAGCCGCAGUAAAAC
rnacentral:rRNA from 1 species